CACAGUUGGUGUUGGUCAGGUCUUCCAUGACAUCGCUUGCGCAGCUCCACAAGGCUGUGACUAGACGUUCUGCACCAUGUGUGCUGGUCGUGAACUCCAGAAGCUUCCUCAUCCUCUCCUGAUCUUCUCUGCUCGCACUAUCGCUGCUUUUUCGUUGGUUAAUUGGAGGCGAUCAAGGAUUUCGACGACAUUUUUUAGCCUGUCGAUUAACUUAACAUUGUUUUUCCUUAGAAACAACAGGUUUUCAUCUGUAAUUUAGAAAAGUGUUAAAAAAAAAAAAAAAACCAGGUGAAACAAGAUUGUUAGUUUCUAUUUUAUUUGGUAGGGAUGAAGUGGAGGUGCCUUGAAUAUUCUUGUUUCCAGUUUGAGAGUUGUCUAUCUUAUCUCUCUGUGCUGAAAAACAUAAUAAAAAAGGAAAUGUGAAAUUUCUAGGUAAGACAUUGCUGAGAACAGAAAACCCCACUGUUGAGAACAAUAACAAUUCACAAUCCUUAGGAUUGAGGUUAGGUUGACUCAUACACAGCUGGUGGGUGGGGCUAGGUGGAAUCAUACACAGCUAGAGGGUGGGCUAGGUGGAAUCCUACACUGCUGAGGGUGGGGCUAGGUAGAAUCAUACACUGCUACAGGGUGUGGCUAGGUGGAGUCAUACACAGCUGGAGGGUGGGCUAGGUGGAAUCAUACACGGCUAGAGGGUGGGGCUAGGUGCAAUCAUACACUGCUACAGGGUGUGGCUAGGUGGAAUCAUACACAGCUGGAGGGUGGGCCUAGGUGGAAUCAUACACAGCUAGAUGGUGUGGCUAGGUGGUAUCAUGCACAGCUAGAGGGUGGGGCUAGGUGGAAUCAUACACAGCUAGAGGGUGGGGCUGGGUGGAAUCUUACAUAGCUAGAGGGUGGGGCUAGGUGGAACCAUACACAGCUGGAGGGUGGGGCAGCUAUAAUUCUAUUUUAUUACUUGCUUGAAUAGUAGGUGUAAUAUUUACCAAACACUGCAGCAUUGUUAGUCGCUCUCUGGUUGAUCGUGUCUUCAUUAUUAAAUCGAUUCAUUGGGCCACCUGAAGGCUGGCAAGAAUCGCUCCUGCCAGAUGUUUGAACCGUGAUGUUACCUGUUAAUAGAGAAAGCAAUGUUACAAUCUAUACCUAACAAUAAUAUCUGGUCAGCAUUUUGUAUGCAAUACUGUACUACAAUUAGAUACAUUUUCU
ensembl:lncRNA